rnacentral:lncRNA from 1 species
AAAUGACAAUUUUUUUCUCUCCUCGAGGAAUGUCUUAACAAUCUGCGACCAUUAGAGAUAAUUCUUCCCAUCAAGUCGAUAGGAAGGAUUCAUAUUUUGGAGCUCUCUAUUUGAUCCAUCUGAUAAAGAUCCAAAAGUUGGUCCAAUAAAAUUAUUGGCCAUGGUUUCAGAGGUUUCCGACAUUUUCAGAAGAUCAAAGAAACAAAAAAAUUAAGAGAAGAAAUAAUCAGAUAUGAAUGGCAAAGGCACAGAUAACUGAGGAA